rnacentral:ncRNA from 1 species
UUUUUGGAGAUAAAAUUUUGGAUAAUGAGUUUACUUAUUUUAAGUUGAUAAUGAACAGUUUAAAUUAAGCUUAAAGUCUUAUUAUUAUUUUAAAGUUUUAUCUGGUUAAUAAAAUAAAUGAUAGGAGGUCUUGAAUUUAUUUUAUUAAAAAAAUUAUAAAUAGAUUAAAGUACUUAGUUAAUACCGGCUAAAAACGUGCCAGCCGCCGCGGUUAGACGAGAGGUGUAAAAUAAGAUUAAUAUUAAAAUAGAAAUGAUUUAAUAAUUCAUAAAUUUAUAUGUUAUAUUUAGGUAAAAUUAAUAUGGUUAAAAAUUUAUUUUUUUUAUUUUUAUAAGAUUAGGUUAAAAACUAGGAUUAGAUACCCUAUUAUUCUAAUUAAAAAUAUUUUAAGGAGUAGACUUGGUAGGAAAAUUAAAAAUUUUGGCGGUAUUUUAUCCUAACAGAGGAAUUUGCCCUAUAAUUGAUAGUCCCCAUUAUAUCUCACUUUAUUAAAAGUUCAUAUACCGUUGUUGUUCAGAUUACUUUUAAGAAUUUUAGUUUUCUAAAUAGUUUAAGCUAUUACUUCAAAUCAAGGUGUGGUAAAUAUUAGAGCUUGAGGUGAAUUACAAUAAGUUAAUUUUUGGAUUAAUUUAUGCAUAUAUUUUAUUAAAUAGGAUUUGUUAGUAAAGUUAAAUUAAUAUGUUAAUUUGAAAUAGGCACUAGAAUAUGCACAUAUCGCCCGUCACUCUAACUUUUAAAUUAGAUAAGUCGUAACAAAGUAGAUUUAAGGGAACUUGAAUCUAGAAAG